CUGGAUGAAAUUUUUCUAGGCUGCCAUUUUUAAGUUUCAAGACUCUAAGCUCCUAGGUCUAUUGUAAAUAUGAGAAUUGUAGAAGAUCAAGAAGGGCAAUUUUUUAUCAAUCAGACACAAGACACCUGGAUACAUUGGAACAUAUUGACACGCCUAGACAACAUUAAAAAAUUCAAGAAAUCAAAGGAGGUUCAAAUCCUGACAAUCUUUCAACUUGUAGACUCGAAGCACCUUUGAUACGUUUAAAAAGCAUAAGUUAUCAAGGAAAGAGGAGUAAUUUUUAACCAGUAGGAUCUUUUAACUUGCAGGCUCAAAGCAGCUGGCGAUAAUACGGAAAUACAAGGGAGCAAGAGGAGAGGAUGGAUUCAGGACCAAUGGCGAUAGGUACACGUGUAAUAUUCGAUAACAGACAGGAAUGUAAAAUACUAGAAAGCAGCUGUCCGCCUUUCGAGCGGCCACGAAAGAGUUUGGAAAGUUGACGAGUGAGAUUCGAAGCGAAGGCCUGGUCGUUGCCGGGAGCAUGGGAUCUGGCGUGGACAUCCCAGAUUCAGCAACGAUUAUAAUUGGCACGGGGAUUGACGUGGCCGUCGCGUCAACCCAAUACGUCCAGACGAAACAGAUUCCAUCAAUCGUCGCUCUUUAGGCCAGCUCUACUUUUGGGGGGAAAAGUGAAAGGUCGCGAUCGCGUAUCGCGAGCUACGAGCAAUUCGACGGCUGUCUUUCACGAGGGAAAGGUCCCGAGGCAUGGCGCUCACUUUUCACGUACUCUCGCUCGACGAUUACGUCGAUUGUUACGUAUGUUUGUAUUGCAGGAGCGAUUUAGCAGGAAAUUGGAAAAUUUCAAGCAGUGAUUCUCUAUGUUGGUAUUGAUGCUGUUGGUUGGUUGGUUUAUGUUUGUCCCUGUUUGUCCCUGUUUGGCUUGAUCUUAAAAGUAAUUUAUUUAAGAAAAUCGUGAAAUUAUACCGAGGCAUACAGGCUAUUAAAUGAUUGAAAAUUCAGUUUGCAUGUACAUGUGUAUGUUUGAGCGCAUAUUACUGUUUGAUUUCUCUCGUAUCUCAGAAGUAAUUUAUCUCAAAAAUUAGCCUGGACAUUAAUGCUAUUAAAUUUUCGAGACAUAUUCAGUUUGCACGCGUGUAUGUGUAUGUAUGAAUGCAAGUAUGCCAACCUUUCGUUUUCUCAAUAUCUCAUUACUGGUUUGCCACAGAAUCUUGAAAUGUCGAAUUGUGAUUUCUCUGUUCGUAGUUAAAUUAUUGAAAAAGAAUAAUUGCAGCCCCAGGGAAAUAUUGACGUAGGUGAACAGUUUAAUUCGUUACGUAGAACUGCGACAAACUGGGUUACGAAAGUAUCAGUAUUUUCGUUCCUGGACCGAUUGCUACCCGUUAACCAUCUCGUUCGAGGUUCAUUUCCGAUGCAGACCGGGCGACAACGAGCAGAAUUGGGUAUUCGUAGGUGGGCGCCUCGACGCGAGGAAAGAACGGCUUUCUGACGGACUUAAAGCGCACGAAUUCGAAUUGGAAAAUGUUCACGACUUCGCAAACUUCCAGUGACCCGUAUUUCGCAGGACUGCGUAAAAUGAUUUUUCUCGAAGUGUCAAAACAGCGACCUCCUUCCCAUUUUGACGAAACUUUGCAUAUUUGGCUAGUGGUAAGUCGCGUUCACGUAGUCGAACUACUUUCCGCGAAUCCAGCCCUUUUAUUGUUCCUGUUUCCUUGAUAUUUUCAAAAUAGGUCCAUUGAGAAUUCGUGUCGAGUUCUAAUACGCCAGUUUAUCGUGUUUGUUCAUACUGGAAAUAAUUCUGUGCUACUAGAUUAAUUUAAACAUUAAAAUUUAAUAGAAAAACAUGAAAAUAAUUGGAACGCUUAACGCAAAAUGAAUUAUUAUUAAAAAUAAUCACGUUGAAACUAGUCGCUAAUAGAUAGCGUAUCUGAUACCGAAGAACAAAUGGAAUCCAACGUACUAACAAUUUCUUUUAUUGUAUCAAUGAUAUCUUGACAAUUAGAAAAGUAUCGAAGCGGUGACAAUUCGAUGAAAUCGUUAACAAACCGGAUAAUUGCUGAACGUCAGUCAGCGUGUAAAGUAUGACACUCAGAGAUACACGAUAUCUCGUCUAUCGUUACUCCUACUGAAAAAAUGGAUAUUACAAAAGUUGUUUUAAAGAAAAUAUUGAAUCGAUUUUGUUCCAUGUCAAUUUUCGAUAGGAUCGACAGUGACCGAGAUAUCGACCCAAACAUUGGAGUCACCAGCAGUAGACAAUUGUUCAAUUUGUUUCCUUGCAUAUAAAAUGCGUUGAAAUUAUUUGUCCAUUGAAAUGAUACUUUCCAUGUAACACAAUGUAAAUUGUUACCCAACUAGUUCGACAAAGUAAUUAAAUACGCGCGACCGUUCGUACAGAAAACGAGAAAUUAAAUCUUAUUCACCAGAGAUGAAACAUGAAACUAAUAUUUUGCCUAAAUUUCAUUUUGAAUAACAAGAUUACGCUCUCUGUUUCGUAAUGAUUGCAUAACAUAUUCAUCACAGGGCGAUGCAGUAUUCCGUGGAUCAUAAUCGUGCAAUCCGUGACUACGGCACUCAUGAAAGCGCGAUGUAUACACUAACAAAUAUGAAUCGUUCGUUAAUGCAGGCUUUGGUAUCACAAUGAAAGUAUCGAUAAGAUUGCGAAUGUUUGCAUUCUUCGUUUGGCGCAUACCUCGUUUCGCCGAACGCGACAUAUCAUAUAAAUAUACAUACAUACGAAGAACUAUCUUUAAAAUAAUUUGAACCGCGAGUUUUGUGUCGGAAGGCCGUUGUUCAUUAGCCACCCGCUUACUGGCAAUUAUUCUAAUACGCGACGAUAAGAGUUUACGAACUUAACGAAGCUAUUAACUUUUUACACGUUCUUUUUAUUAAAAAUGCAAUUAUACGAGCGAUUAAAGGAAAUUCCAAUUAUUUAUCGCUAGUAGACACAUUUCUAUUUAUAACUUACUGUUCUUAUUUGCUUGGAAGGAGUAUCAUUUUUUUUUUUUUAAUGAAAGAAACGACAUGUUUCGAUAAACGGGUAAUUUGAUAAUAGUGAAAAAAGAAUCAUCAGAGUGGGCAGAAUUUUAUUUGAGCAAUAAGUAAGGGAUGAAAUCUGGUGAAAAUAUAAAUUUCUUACUUUGUAUUAAUCGAUUGAAUUUCUUACGGUUGUGACUCUAAAUAAUUCAACGGUAUUCAGUCAGAUAUUUUUAUUAGUCAGAACUCUGGAGUUUAAGGUCAUUACCUUUGAGCUGCGUUUCACGAAUUGUUCCACAGUGACGCCAGGUAUCAUUCCUUGGCAAUCUUGUUGACCAGCACGUAGGCUACCGAUGACUAUUUUUCAGAGGAAAAGAUAACCCAUUGUCCAAGAAAGAAAAUCAACAAGUUUAUUGCGGUAACGAUAUCAUCCAGUAGCAACAGCGAAACUAAUAACUAUACUGCGGAUUUUAUGCAUUCAUGAUGAUUAAUUAUGACAAAUACAGUGGGUGUAGAAAGUCUUCGUACACCGAUCAAUUUCCAAGAAAACUGUGUAAAAUUGUAAUUUAUUAACUUAUUUUUUAUAAACAAUGACAUUCUACGUGUUCUACGAAAUCUUUAGAAUAGAUAGAUUACAAAAAAAAAAUAACUAUUUAUGUAAGUUGCGAAAGUAACAAGAAAAAAACAAUUAAUCGAUAGAAAGCAAUAAGUAUUCGCACAACUGUUUAAAAGUACUUUCCUGGAAAUUUGAUGUUUUCUAAUUCGUACGGAGCAAUGAACUAAUGUGUUUACGUUAGAAACUCUACUGUAAAUAGUUCGUCAUAAGAAUCGUACAAAUACUGAUUGCUUCUAUACUUUUACCCACUUUUCGCAUUUUUUGUUUGUUAAUUUCACAAAUUAUUAUUAACUAGUAAAUGUUGUUUGGACUACAUCUAUCUUAGAGAUUUCCAAGAAUAUGUAUUAGGUUGUGCCAAAAGUUUCUUUCGUUUUAUUAAUAAUUAAUUCAUACACAAUAUUUUAUGUUUUAUGUUACAUUAGAAAAUUGUGUACAAUUCAUUUCGCUCUAUUACUGUUACAGCGUCAAUGUCUAAGAAAUUAGAUUGUCUAUUUAUAUAAACACUGUCACAGAAAACAAUUGAAUACAACUGACGAAAGAAACUUUUCGGACAACCUAAUAAAAUACCAUUGACUAUAAAAAAGGAAGUUAAGAAACUACAAUUUCACACAAAAGUUUUUUGGGAAAUUGAUCGAUGUACGAAUACAUUUUACACCCACUGUAUAUGGUAAACGCAACGAAAAGGUACAUGCACCAAAAUAUUAAUAUAUCAUUGAUCGAUGUUACAAAUUUAAAUUAAUUUCAAUUAAAUUGUAAUGAAUUGAAUUGAAUCAUGUAUGAUUUAAAUAAAAUUUUUACAUUUUAGAUUAAAUUACGUUUAGUCUAACAAUCGUAAAUUCAUAUAUUAUAUUACAUUAGCUAAUAGAAUAUAUUCUACGUGCAUCGCAUACAGUUUUUGUACGUUAUCGUUAUCGGUGUGGACCGUAAAUGCAUAAAAUCAGCAAUCUACUAGCAAUAUUAAGAUGUUAAAAUACGCGUUGUGGCACGGAGCUCAUAUAUUCGCCAGUGCUCGUGUACCUUUCGACGUCACUCGUAGAAAUGAUUCCGACCCGUUCAUCUCGGUAAUCGACGAAAUUCGCUGCAACAGCUGUCAUCGAAUCUAAUCUGUACCCGAUAUUCCGCGAUAAGGGGAUACGGCGACCGGUGUUGCCGUGGAUAUUCCAGCGUGGAAACUCCGCGGGGAAAGUUUGCGCGUUAAAAUUUCGCAAAGGUCGCCUCCUUCGACCGUGGAACUGGAUGGGGAGGAGGGGCACGCGAAGAGAUACAUAUAUUGUUUGAACAGUCGAGUGAUCCUAACUUUGUUUGCGCCAAGUUGCAUCCGAGUUUUCCUUUGGACGAUUUGUUCCGCGGGAAGAUGCUUUUUAUUUCGCUUCUGUUCGGAAUUUUUAUCCCUGGUAUCGACUUUAUUUCGACUGCUGUUAGGAGGCGUUUCUCCGGGCAGAAAUAAAAUGAAAAUCAGGAACGAUGACAUUUCAGUUGGAGGCUUUAUUAUUAUUCUUCUACAAUUGUUAUAACUGGGCGCUAUAAAUUGUUAUAAAUACUUGGAUCUGUUAGAAGAAGAACAAUAAGUCGAUGGCUAUUGAACUUGGUGUAUAUAGGUAAAUUGAAUGGCCAUUGGGUUGAGUCUUAGGUUGCUCGGGGACUUAGAAGGUUGAUAACGUAAUAAAACGAUGAGUAAACAUUUCUACUUGGAGUUACAAAAGAGAUACGUAAUAGAUGAAUAAUAUUUGAUUGAAUACGAAGGCACAGAAUUAACUUCCACAUCUAGUAUAUAUGAGAUAGAGAGUCGAAGGUUCUCCCUUGGGAACAAUUCCAGAAUAAACACCAAAGAGUCAGAACUGUGCUAUCAUUUAAAAUAAAUAUUUAAUAAUCUGGUAUUGUCUUCCAUUUUACACUUAAAGAGUACGCGAAGUAUUAGGUUGUCCCGAAACUUGCCUGGCAGUUGUGUUUUAUGCAGAGUGUUGUGGGAUUUUGCAGUCGAGAUGUGUCAUUAUGUUGUACAAGUGUAGAGAAGUUGCCUGAUUAUUAUUUACGAGGAAAAUUAUGCCUGAUCGUUAAAGACCAUGCAUGGGAAUUUAUUUUACAUUGUUUUCGGUGAAAUUCAUAUCAUUCCAAUUAACGAGGAACAAGGAUACCUGUAAAAUGAUUGACCUAACCCAGAUCUAAUCAUUUAGUUUAUACUUAUUAUUCUCUAUUAUUAUUUUAAAUGAUUAUUUAUUAAAUAUAUUAUUAAAGAGAGAUUUAAUAUUUGUCCACCAGGAUCGUGAAAAUUCUAAAUGAAAUUGAAAUGAAAUUGAAAUGAAUUUAUUCGGCGUUCGCUGGGUAAAAUGUUACUUUCGAACGGGUGAGUUCAUUUUUUCAAAGAUGGCAUGAGCAUAAAGUCUAAUUUGUCAUUGAGAGAGCUCUGUCUUCAAGUGUUUACCAGGUUCGUUUCGUAACGAAAUGUAUAGAGAAUUCUGAAUCUCAACCUUGGUACCAUACUCUAGAAUUGAAAGUUUGCGGAGACGUCAACGUCUACUCCAACUUCCGUUUAACCAAGGAAGUUUGUGAUUUCUUGACACG